rnacentral:rRNA from 1 species
GACGAACGCUGGCGGCGUGCCUAAUACAUGCAAGUUGAGCGCUGAAGGUUGGUACUUGUACCAACUGGAUGAGCAGCGAACGGGUGAGUAACGCGUGGGGAAUCUGCCUUUGAGCGGGGGACAACAUUUGGAAACGAAUGCUAAUACCGCAUAAAAACUUUAAACACAAGUUUUAAGUUUGAAAGAUGCAAUUGCAUCACUCAAAGAUGAUCCCGCGUUGUAUUAGCUAGUUGGUGAGGUAAAGGCUCACCAAGGCGAUGAUACAUAGCCGACCUGAGAGGGUGAUCGGCCACAUUGGGACUGAGACACGGCCCAAACUCCUACGGGAGGCAGCAGUAGGGAAUCUUCGGCAAUGGACGAAAGUCUGACCGAGCAACGCCGCGUGAGUGAAGGAGGUUUUCGGAUCGUAAAACUCUGUUGGUAGAGAAGAACGUUGGUGAGAGUGGAAAGCUCAUCAAGUGACGGUAACUACCCAGAAAGGGACGGCUAACUACGUG